UCAGGACGAACGCUGGCGGCGUGCUUAACACAUGCAAGUCGAACGGUAAGGCCCCUUCGGGGGUACACGAGUGGCGAACGGGUGAGUAACACGUGGGUAAUCUGCCCUGCACUUCGGGAUAAGCCUGGGAAACCGGGUCUAAUACCGGAUAUGAACUCCUGCCGCAUGGUGGGGGUUGGAAAGUUUUUCGGUGCAGGAUGAGCCCGCGGCCUAUCAGCUUGUUGGUGGGGUAAUGGCCUACCAAGGCGACGACGGGUAGCCGGCCUGAGAGGGUGAUCGGCCACACUGGGACUGAGACACGGCCCAGACUCCUACGGGAGGCAGCAGUGGGGAAUAUUGCACAAUGGGCGAAAGCCUGAUGCAGCGACGCCGCGUGGGGGAUGACGGUCUUCGGAUUGUAAACCCCUUUCAGUAGGGACGAAGCGCAAGUGACGGUACCUGCAGAAGAAGCACCGGCUAACUACGUGCCAGCAGCCGCGGUAAUACGUAGGGUGCGAGCGUUGUCCGGAAUUACUGGGCGUAAAGAGCUCGUAGGCGGUUUGUCACGUCGUCUGUGAAAUCCCUCGGCUUAACCGGGGGCGUGCAGGCGAUACGGGCAGACUUGAGUACUACAGGGGAGACUGGAAUUCCUGGUGUAGCGGUGAAAUGCGCAGAUAUCAGGAGGAACACCGGUGGCGAAGGCGGGUCUCUGGGUAGUAAC
rnacentral:rRNA from 1 species